AUGAUCCUGUGGCUGAAUUUGGUUUCCUUCCUAGCAGUCCUCAGAGGUGUCCUGUCAGAGGCCCAGUUGGUGGAGUCCGGAGGGGACGUGAGGAGGCCUGGAGAGUCCCUCCGCCUCUCCUGCCAAGCCUCUGGGUUCAACUUCGGGGGCUACCACAUGAGCUGGGUGAGACAGGCCCCUGGGAAAGGGCUGGAAUGGGUUGCAGUUAUUUGGUACGAUUCCAGUAAACAGUACUAUGCAGAGUCUGUGAAGGGACGCUUCACCAUCUCCAGGGACAACUCCAAAAGCCAAGUCUACCUGCAAAUGAACAGCCUGAAGCCGGAGGACUCGGCAGUCUAUUACUGUGCAAGGGACACAGUGGGAGGAAGUGAGUCUGAAGCCUGGCAAAAACCU